CAGCAAGGGAUCUGCAGCUUCAAAAAGCUGUACACAAAGGUGUUCUUCACCAGGUGCAUUGAUGUCACCAAAGCAGCAUCCUUGAUUCUAGAAGAGUUCAGGAAGAAACAUUUCAAUAUCCUCCACUGCAUCAACCUCACUGACAAAGCCUGGGAAGAUGUUAUAUACUAGACCUUAAACACCGUCUGGAGAUAACUAGUCAGAAUGUGUCACUGAAGUUUUGCUCAUGUCAUUCCAUGGGAAAAUUAAGUUUCAGCUGCCAAAGGAGAAUGAUCAGGAACCUGGAAACCAGAGAAAAUGUUAUAAAGAGAGGAUAAUAUUUGAGCUGAUAACCCAUUUGCUUAUGUCUACCAGAUGGCUAUUUCAUCUCCUGCCACACUGUGAAAUAAAUGAUUGAAAUAA